rnacentral:rRNA from 1 species
CCUACGGGAGGCAGCAGUGAGGAAUAUUGGUCAAUGGGAGAGAUCCUGAACCAGCCAAGCCGCGUGAGGGAAGACGGCCCUAUGGGUUGUAAACCUCUUUUGUCGGAGAACAAAACCCGGGACGUGUCCCGUACUGCGUGUAUCCGACGACCAAGCAUCGGCUAACUCCGUUCCAGCAGCAGCGGUAAUACGGAGGAUGCGAGCGUUGUCCGGAUUUAGUGGGUUGAAAGGGUGCGUAGGCGGUCCGUUAAGUCAGCGGUAAAAUUGCGGGGCUCAACCCCGGCGAGCCGUUGAAACUGGCAGACUUGAGUGGGCGAGAAGUAAGUGGAAUGCGCGGUGUAGCGGUGAAAUGCAUAGAUAUCGCGCAGAACGCCGAUUGCGAAGGCAGCGUACCGGCGCCAGACUGACGCUGAGGCACGAAAGCGUGGGGAUCGAACAGGAUUAGAUACCCCUGUAGUC